UACAGGCUUCUCGGCCGUGGCACCCAGCCGCGGGUGGGAAUUCCUCGGCAAGCAGCAGCCUCGGAUGCGGGACUAUGAAUUGCAACAGUGCGAGUGCUGCUAGGAAAUCCAGCUGGCUGCUAAGAGGUUUGUCUUUUUUAUUUUUUUCUUUCCUUUUUUUUCUAUUUUUUCUAUAUUCUUUUUUUCUGUUUGUUUGUUUGUUUUUUUGGUUUUUUUUCAGUGCAUUGUAAGAGCUUCAGUGCAGCUAAAGGCGCUGAGCUCUUGGCAGGAACACGGAGAAGGGACUGAAACAGCUUCUCACCUGGAGGUGCCACCAGCUCCUGAAUCCUCAGCCGUGAGCGAGCACUUCCCAGGUGCUCCCCAGCCCAGCCCGUGGCUGCUGCUCAGCCCACACCCCAAAAUCCCGGUGCUGCCCAGGGCUGGGUGCACGUUCUGGUUGCAGGGAGCAAGGACACGUCACCGCGGGGCUGAAACCCUCCAGCUGCUGCUUCUCCUCCCAGCUGCUGCUCCUGGCAGAGCCCAGUGCCCAUCCUGACAUCCCGCUCCCUUCGCAGAGACCUGCUGGAGCGGGCUCUCCUGGCCAGACCUGACACAGAGGUACACUCACCUCUGGGACCCAAAAUGGCUCCCUGGUGUGGUGGGGCUCUGGGCAGCCCCCGCUGGACCCCGACCCCCUGGGAGCAGAGGAUCCCUGUUGCCUUUGAGCUUUGCCAUCACCCGAGGAUGCUCACGCA